rnacentral:misc_RNA from 1 species
GAUGAAGAACGCAGCGAAAUGCGAUAAGUAGUGUGAAUUGCAGAAUUCCGUGAAUCAUCGAGUCUUUGAACGCACAUUACACCUCAUGGCAUUCCGUGAGGCAUCCCCAUCUCAGCGUUAGAAAAUAUUCUCAAAUUUUAGUUUUGUGCUAAAAUUUGGAUCAUGUCAAGGAAGCUAUUACUAUUAUUGUGAUCGCUCUUUGGAAAUUGAUAGGUCUUUGAGUUGCUACUCAUAGAACGUGAUGAAUCUUUCUUCGUUCUAUUGUAAUUCACUCUGGUAGUCCUAAAACUUGUAUGCCUGUGGCAUAUCUUGUAAUUUGACCUGAGAUUGGGUAGGGAUACCCGCUGAACUUAAGCAUAUCAAUAAGCGGAGGA